GUUUGUUUAAAGUUCCAUUGAGGUAUACCCCUAUAUCUUGUUUUGUUAAUAUCACAAUCUAAUUUUUGACAGUAAUAGCUUCCCAUUCCUGUGAUAAUAUGUAGUGUUACCUCAUUUUUCCUUGCCUAAUCAUCCAUAUUUGGAGAUAAGCAAUACAUAAUGUAGUUCUUAAAAAUUUUGAUUAACAGAAAAUAUUUCCAAGUUGGAAAGUAAUUUUAGCCAACAAUGGCAGAUGCAUGAUGCUUUGUUUUCAAUUUAAUUUUAUAAUAAUUGAUACUCACCAAAUACAUAUUUACCCCAUACAUUUGUUUGAUAUAUGAAGUUAAAACAUACAGUCCACUCUCAUCUUCAUCUCUAGGGGGCCUCAGUGGUCAGGUGGUCUAAAUAGUAAAUGUACUGUAAUCACUAGCCUGUAAAUACUGAAUUUGUGAAUUUCUAACCCAGCCCGUGCAGGUUUUCCUAUCAAAGGUCAUGGUUUUCUCGGGGCACUUCUGCUUCCUCCAUCAAUAAAAACUGGCCACCCCGAAAAAGCCCCAAAGUAAUGUUUAAAAGUGGCAUUAAAACACCAGCAAUCAAUUUUCAUAUCUAAGUCAGUUGACUUGAAAUUCUAACAGUUUUAGAUUAUAAUGUGGUCCCUACAG
rnacentral:lncRNA from 1 species